GUGAAUCAUCGAAUUUUUGAACGCAAAUUGCACUUUCUGGUAUUACGGAGAGUAUGCCUGUUUGAGGGUCAGUAAAAUAAGAAUCGGUGUUGUUGCUGCUUUUCGCGGUGACGCGUCGGUAUUGAGUUGUCUUACCUUCGGUUAAGUGUCUUAAAAUUUUGCUUGAUUUUUGAUAGUAUUUAAAUUUCUUUUUUAUGUUUGAGAUAUCGAAUUCUUUAUUAGGUUCGUUGAUCCUCAUGAUUCGCACCUUUACUUUUUCAUUAAUUGACCUCGAAUCA
rnacentral:misc_RNA from 1 species